GGUACAUCGGUGACAGGUGGUGCAUGGUUGUCGUCAGCUCGUGUCGUGAGAUGUUGGUUAAGUCCGCAACGAGCGCAACCCCUACUUGUUAGUUGCCAUCAUUCAGUUGGGCACUCUAGCGAGACUGCCGGUAAUAAACCGGAGGAAGGUGGGGAUGACGUCAAAUCAUCAUGCCCCUUACUGACCUGGGCUACACACGUGCUACAAUGGUUGGUACAACGAGUUGCGAGUCGGUGACGGCGAGCUAAUCUCUUAAAGCCAAUCUCAGUUCGGAUUGUAGGCUGCAACUCGCCUACAUGAAGUCGGAAUCGCUAGUAAUCGCGGAUCAGCACGCCGCGGUGAAUACGUUCCCGGGCCUU
rnacentral:rRNA from 1 species